GAUGAACGCUGGCGGCGUGCCUAAUACAUGCAAGUCGAGCGAACGGACGAGAAGCUUGCUUCUCUGAUGUUAGCGGCGGACGGGUGAGUAACACGUGGAUAACCUACCUAUAAGACUGGGAUAACUUCGGGAAACCGGAGCUAAUACCGGAUAAUAUUUUGAACCGCAUGGUUCAAAAGUAAAAGACGGUCUUGCUGUCACUUAUAGAUAGAUCCGCGCUGCAUUAGCUAGUUGGUAAGGUAACGGCUUACCAAGGCAACGAUGCAUAGCCGACCUGAGAGGCGGAUCGGCCACACUGGAACUGAGACCCGGUCCAGACUCCUACGGGGGGCAGCAGUAGGGAAUCUUCCGCAAUGGGCGAAAGCCUGACGGAGCAACGCCGCGUGAGUGAUGAAGGUCUUCGGAUCGUAAAACUCUGUUAUUAGGGAAGAACAUAUGUGUAAGUAACUGUGCACAUCUUGACGGUACCUAAUCAGAAAGCCACGGCUAACUACGUG
rnacentral:rRNA from 1 species